ACGACCAGCUCCUUGAAAAUCCCCCAGGAUGGGAACAUAGCAAGGGUAUCAGGUCGUAGCGGUGCGAU
rnacentral:SRP_RNA from 1 species